rnacentral:rRNA from 1 species
AGUGAACGCUGGCGGUAGGCCUAACACAUGCAAGUCGAACGGCAACACAGUAAGAGCUUGCUCUUACGGGUGGCGAGUGGCGGACGGGUGAGGAAUACAUCGGAAUCUACUUUUUCGUGGGGGCUAACGUAGGGAAACUUACGCUAAUACCGCAUACGACCUACGGGUGAAAGCAUGGGAUCUUCGGACCUUGCGCGAUUGAAUGAGCCGAGGUCGGAUUAGCUAGUUGGCGGGGUAAAGGCCCACCAAGGCGAAGAUCCGUAGCUGGUCUGAGAGGAUGAUCAGUCACACUGGGAAUGAGACACGGUCCAGACUCAUAAGGGAGGAAGCAGUGGGGAAUAGUGGACAAUGGGCGAAAGCUUGAUCCAGACAUGCCGAGUGUGGGAAGAAGGUAUUUGGAUUGUAAAGCAAUUUAAGUUGGGAGGAAGGGCAGUAAGUUAAUACCUUGCUGUUUUGACGUUACCAACAGAAUAAGCACCGGCUAACUUCGUG